ACUCAAAGGAAUAGACGGGGGCCCGCACAAGCAGCGGAGCGUGUGGUUUAAUUCGAUGCAACGCGAAGAACCUUACCCAGACUUGACAUGACCGGGAAAGCCCCGGAAACGGGGGCCUCUUCGGACCAGGUCACAGAUGUUGCAUGGCUGUCGUCAGCUCGUGUCGUGAGAUGUUGGGUUAAGUCCCGCAACGAGCGCAACCCUCGUGGGCUGUUGCAAGUCAGCCCAGACUGCCGGUACAAGCCGGAGGAAGGUGGGGAUGAUGUCAAGUCCGCAUGGCUCUUAUGUCUGGGGCGACACACACGCUACAAUGGCCGGGACAGAGCGCCGCCACGGGGCGACCCGGAGCGAAUCGCAAAACCCGGUCUCAGUUCGGAUGGCAGGCUGCAACCCGCCUGCCUGAAGUCGGAGUUGCUAGUAACCGCGUGUCAGCAUAGCGCGGUGAAUAUGUUCCCGGGCCUUGUACACACCGCCCGU
rnacentral:rRNA from 1 species